rnacentral:rRNA from 1 species
AUUGAACGCUGGCGGAAUGCUUUACACAUGCAAGUCGAACGGCAGCACGGGGCAACCUGGUGGCGAGUGGCGAACGGGUGAGUAAUACAUCGGAACGUGCCCAAUCGUGGGGGAUAACGUAGCGAAAGUUACGCUAAUACCGCAUACGAUCUAAGGAUGAAAGCGGGGGAUCGCAAGACCUCGCGCGAAUGGAGCGGCCGAUGUCAGAUUAGGUAGUUGGUGGGGUAAAGGCUCACCAAGCCGACGAUCUGUAGCUGGUCUGAGAGGACGACCAGCCACACUGGGACUGAGACACGGCCCAGACUCCUACGGGAGGCAGCAGUGGGGAAUUUUGGACAAUGGGCGAAAGCCUGAUCCAGCCAUUCCGCGUGCAGGAUGAAGGCCUUCGGGUUGUAAACUGCUUUGUUACGGACGAAACGGUCCUUUCUAAUACAAGGGCUAAUGACGGUACCGUAAGAAUAAGCACCGGCAAACUUCGUGCCAGCAGCCGCGGUAAUACGUCUA